AAUCAACGCUGGCGGCGUGCCUAACACAUGCAAGUCGAACGAGAAAGGGGCUUCGGCUCCGAGUAAAGUGGCGGACGGGUGAGUAACACGUGGGUGAUCUGCCCUCCAGUGGGGGAUAACAUACCGAAAGGUGUGCUAAUACCGCAUGGAGUUCCGGUUGUCGCGAUCGGAAUGAAAGCAGCAAUGCGCUGGAGGAGGAGCCCGCGUCGGAUUGGCUAGUUGGUGGGGUAACGGCCCACCAAGGCUACGAUCCGUAGCCGGCCUGAGAGGGUGACCGGCCACACUGGAACUGAGACACGGUCCAGACUCCUACGGGAGGCAGCAGUGGGGAAUUUUGCGCAAUGGGGGAAACCCUGACGCAGCAACGCCGCGUGGACGAUGAAGGCCUUUGGGUCGUAAAGUCCUGUCAGCAGGGAAAAACACAAUGAUGGUACCUGCAGAGGAAGCUCCGGCUAACUUCGUGCCAGCCGCCGCAGUAAAAC
rnacentral:rRNA from 1 species